rnacentral:rRNA from 1 species
ACAAGCGGUGGAGCAUGUGGUUUAAUUCGAUGAUACGCGAGGAACCUUACCUGGGCUCAAAUGUAUGUUGACGUAUUCUGAAAGGGAUACUUCUUCGGACAAUAUACAAGGUGCUGCAUGGUUGUCGUCAGCUCGUGCCGUGAGGUGUCGGGUUAAGUCCCAUAACGAGCGCAACCCUAUCAUUAGUUGCCAUCAGGUCAAGCUGGGGACUCUAAUGAAACUGCCUACGCAAGUAGUGAGGAAGGUGGGGAUGACGUCAAAUCAGCACGGCCCUUACGUCCAGGGCUACACACGUGCUACAAUGGCCGGUACAAAGGGCAGCUACCUGGUGACAGGAUGCUAAUCUCAAAAGCCGGUCUCAGUUCGGAUCGGAGUCUGCAACCCGACUCCGUGAAGCUGGAGUUGCUAGUAAUCGCGAAUCAGAAUGUCGCGGUGAAUGCGUUCCCGGGUCUU